AUACGGAGGGGGUUAGCGUUGUUCGGAAUUACUGGGCGUAAAGCGUACGUAGGCGGACUGGAAAGUUGGGGGUGAAAUCCCGGGGCUCAACCCCGGAACUGCCUCCAAAACUUCCAAUCUAGAGAUCGAGAGAGAUGAGUGGAAUUCCAAGUGUAGAGGUGAAAUUCGUAGAUAUUUGGAGGAACACCAGUGGCGAAGGCGGCUCACUGGCUCGAUACUGACGCUGAGGUACGAAAGCGUGGGGAGCAAACAGGAUUAGAUACCCCAGUAGUCC
rnacentral:rRNA from 1 species